rnacentral:rRNA from 1 species
AUUGAACGCUGGCGGAAUGCUUUACACAUGCAAGUCGAACGGCAGCACGGGGGCAGCCCUGGUGGCGAGUGGCGAACGGGUGAGUAAUACAUCGGAACGUGCCCGGUCGUGGGGGAUAACGUAGCGAAAGUUACGCUAAUACCGCAUACGAUCUGAGGAUGAAAGCGGGGGACCUUCGGGCCUCGCGCGAUCGGAGCGGCCGAUGUCAGAUUAGGUAGUUGGUGGGGUAAAGGCCUACCAAGCCGACGAUCUGUAGCUGGUCUGAGAGGACGACCAGCCACACUGGGACUGAGACACGGCCCAGACUCCUACGGGAGGCAGCAGUGGGGAAUUUUGGACAAUGGGCGCAAGCCUGAUCCAGCCAUUCCGCGUGCAGGACGAAGGCCUUCGGGUUGUAAACUGCUUUUGUACGGAACGAAAAGGCUCUGGCUAAUACCUGGGGCUCAUGACGGUACCGUAAGAAUAAGCACUGGCUAACUACGUG